GACGAACCGUGCGAACGUUUAUUCGGAAUCACUGGGCUUAAAGCGCGUGUAGGCGGGACGGCACGUCGGUCGCUGAAAGCCCCCGGCUCAACCGGGGAACGGGCGCCGAUACGACCGUCCUGGAGGGACGUAGGGGGACCUGGAACUUCCGGUGGAGCGGUGAAAUGCGUUGAGAUCGGAAGGAACGCCCGUGGCGAAAGCGAGGUCCUGGACGUUUUUCUGACGCUGAGACGCGAAAGCCAGGGGAGCGAACGGG
rnacentral:rRNA from 1 species